rnacentral:lncRNA from 13 species
AAGUGGGUCAGGUUCACAUUUUGUAGAGAGGAGCACAGUUUAGAAGCCUACAGAACAGCAGUUAUCAAGAAGAUACUGGAUGUAGAGCACCAGAUACUCAGAGACGCAUCUCUUCCUUAACGUAAAUGGAACUACAGCUGCUUGACGGGGGAAUAACCCCAAUCAUGACCCUUCAACCUCGUUUUAUCCAUCCAGUAAUCUCGAAGUGGUAAACCCUCUAGAACGCAAAACCACAACAAACAAGCAAAUCUAACCUCAGGACUUCGUAGAUCAAAAAGAGAGAUAACGGCAAGCUCAGCACCAAUGCGUCUUGUGCUGGCCACUCCAAGGAAAUUUGCCGCAAACGAAAUGCUGUUACACUUUUAAGCAUCACGUUUCGACUGUGGGAAUUUUUGAAAGGUGAAGUGAUGGGUAUAUAACAUGAAAGAACAGGUGCAGACUGUCAAACUACAGUUCUGAUUCUCUGCUCUUCUCUUCGCCGUUAAUUACGACUCUAAACAAUAAAACCGAAAAGAUGCGCGCUGUGAUUUUGGUGACGGUUGGUCUGCUGGCGCUGAUUGGACACCUGGAUGGACGCGCUCAUGGCGGAAAACGACGCGACAGACCAACCUGUCUCCAACGGACGGUCUCUCCCAGACUGAUCAAGGAAUUACUCAACAAAACACAAACUCUCACAAACUCUUUACCAACGUUCCCCAGAAAAAUAUAUGAAAGACUUCUGCCCAAAAUCUGUACAACGUGUGCUAAGAAACAACUUGGAAUCUGGGAAAUCAACAAGAUAUUGGAUGUCUAUUCCAACGUGUUCAACCAGGAAUCUUUGGAAGGUCUCUACCCCAAACACUUUGAGGAUCUCCUGGCAAGGCUGAAAACAGAUGUGCAAUCUUGUCUGGUGGAGUGCCCAACUAGACCAACAUGGACCAAGACAACCAUCAGGAAGAUGGAGAACACAUUUAAGAAGCUGGACACCAACGGGACUUACAAGGCCAUCGGAGAGUUCAAGACCGUCGUCCUGUGGAUCAGUGACAUGAGAGAGAGAAAGGAAACGUCAACGGAUAAAUGCCAGUAGUCUUCCACCCACCCACCCAUCCACCCACCCACCCACCCAUCCACCCAUCCAUCCAUCCAUCCAUCCAUCCAUCCACCCACCCACCCACCCANNNNNNNNNNUAGUAUCCAAUCAGUUCCAUCCCCUAUGGCUAUAGUAUCCAAUCAGUUCCAUCCCCUAUGACUUUAGUAUCCAAAAGAAGAGUGUGUUUAUGAUAUGUUGUCAACCAUUCAUUCCCUCUUUUGGCAGCUGGACACCAACGGGACUUACAAGGCCAUCGGAGAGUUCAAGACCGUCGUCCUGUGGAUCAGUGACAUGAGAGAGAGAAAGGAAACGUCAACGGAUAAAUGCCAGUAGUCUUCCACCCACCCACCCAUCCACCCACCCACCCACCCAUCCACCCAUCCAUCCAUCCAUCCAUCCAUCCAUCCACCCACCCACCCACCCA